GGUCCCAAACCCAGUCCUCAUGGGCCACCAACAGUCCAGAUUUUGUCAGCAUCGCCAUUGGAAUAAAAAAAGGGAAAUACACUGUUGGUGGUCCAUGAGGACUGGGUUUGGGAC